AGCCACCAGUGAGGAUUGAACUCACGACCCCUGGUUUACGAGACCAGUGCUCUAACCACUGAGCUAUGGUGGC
rnacentral:tRNA from 13 species